GCCGGGCAUAGUGGCGGGUGCCUGUAAUCUCAGCUACUUAGGAGGCUGAGGCAGGAGAAUCGCUCGAACCCAGGAGGCAGAGGUUGCGGUGAGCCGAGAUUGUGCCACUGCACUCCAGCCUGGGUGACAGAGGGAGACUCUGUCUCAA
rnacentral:SRP_RNA from 1 species